GCUGAAUAAAAGUUAUCUAAAGUUCCUGCUGCAGAGUCUCAGUGAUAUGUGCAAGAGACAUCAGAGACAAGAAGUGCUGCAGCUUUAAGCUCAGCUCACCACACCCUCUGGGUGUGUCUGGGUCUCUGUGACAUCAUCAGAAGCCAUGUUAGUUUUACUGAUGGAACCUGCUAGUAAAUAGCCAUGUGGUUGUAGCUGAAUAAAAGUUAUCUAAAGUUCCUGCUGCAGAGUCUCAGUGAUAUGUGCAAGAGACAUCAGACACAAGGUGUUUGAUUUCUGUUUGACACCAGAAGACAUGGACUUUAUGUUGUCCCUUCGUUGUAACCAGAAGCUGAUCCAUCUGACGUACCCUCUGUGGAGAGGCUGAAAUCUCACUCAUCCCAAGGAGAGCUGCUAAUUAAUCACAGCUGAAAACCUCUAUUAACCACUAAACUCCCAGGAGAGUACUUUGUUUUGCUUUGCUGAUAAAGGGAUAAUGAACUGUAUAGUAAUCUACAUGCAGACGAAGAAUAUCCCCAGCAACAGUUGUGCUAAAAUCAAAUGCUGCUACAGUGUAAAACCUGGCACAUAAGGGGUUAAUCAGAGUACCUUCUACCCUCAUUUGAUAUGGAUUUCACCAGGAGCCUGUUCACUGAGAUCCAAUAAAUAUUUUUAAACAAUACUGUUACCAGGAAAUAAAUAUAUAUAGAAGCUA